GACGAACGCUGGCGGCGUGCUUAACACAUGCAAGUCGAACGGAAAGGCCCUGCUUUUGCGGGGUGCCCGAGUGGCGAACGGGUGAGUAACACGUGAGUAACCUGCCCUUGACUUUGGGAUAACUUCAGGAAACUGGGGCUAAUACCGGAUAGGAGCUCCUGCUGCAUGGUGGGGGUCGGAAAGUUUCGGCGGUUGGGGAUGGACUGGCGGCUUAUCAGCUUGUUGGUGGGGUAGUGGCUUACCAAGGCUUUGACGGGUAGCCGGCCUGAGAGGGUGACCAGCGACAUUGGUACUGAGAUACGGCGCAGACUCCUACGGGGGGCAGCAGUGGGGAGUAUGGCACAAUGGGCGGAAGCCUGAGGCAGCGACGCCGCGUGCGGGAUGACGGCCUUCGGGUUGUAAACCGCUUUCGCCUGUGACGAAGCGUGAGUGACGGUAAUGGGUAAAGAAGCACCGGCUAACUACGUG
rnacentral:rRNA from 1 species